CCUCAGGUCAGGCGGGACUACCCGCUGAGUUUAAGC
rnacentral:rRNA from 1 species